CCUACGGGAGGCAGCAGUGGGGAAUUUUGCGCAAUGCUCGUAAGAGUGACGCAGCGACGCCGCGUGAAUGACGAAGGCCUUCCGGUCGUAAAGUUCUUUCGACAGGGAAGAAAAUGCCUAUAAGUCACUGGGUAUGUAUUGACGGUACCUGUAUAAGCAGCCCCGGCUAACUCCGUGCCAGCAGCCGCGGUAAUACGGAGGGGGCGAGCGUUGUUCGGAGUGACUGGGCGUAAAGAGCAAGGGGGCGGUGGUGUAAGUCAUUAGUCAAAGGCUAGAGCUCAACUUUAGUAAGGCUAGUGAUACUAUAAUACGAGAGUAUCAGAGAGGAUUGCAGAAUUCCUGGUGUAGCGGUGAAAUGCGUAGAUAUCAGGAGGAAUACCGUUAGCGAAGGCGGCAAUCUGGCUGGAAACUGACGCUGAGGUGCGAAAGCGUGGGUAGCAAACAGGAUUAGAUACCCCUGUAGUC
rnacentral:rRNA from 1 species